UGGGGAAUAUUGGACAAUGGGCGAAAGCCUGAUCCAGCCAUGCCCCGUGUGUGAAGAAGGUCUUCGGAUUGUAAAGCACUUUAAGUUGGGAGGAAGGGCAUUAACCUAAUACGUUAGUGUUUUGACGUUACCGACAGAAUAAGCACCGGCUAACUCUGUGCCAGCAGCCGCGGUAAUACAGAGGGUGCAAGCGUUAAUCGGAAUUACUGGGCGUAAAGCGCGCGUAGGUGGUUUGUUAAGUUGGAUGUGAAAUCCCCGGGCUCAACCUGGGAACUGCAUUCAAAACUGACUGACUAGAGUAUGGUAGAGGGUGGUGGAAUUUCCUGUGUAGCGGUGAAAUGCGUAGAUAUAGGAAGGAACACCAGUGGCGAAGGCGACCACCUGGACUAAUACUGACACUGAGGUGCGAAAGCGUGGGGAGCAAACA
rnacentral:rRNA from 1 species